rnacentral:rRNA from 1 species
UACGGAGGGAGCUAGCGUUGUUCGGAAUUACUGGGCGUAAAGCGCACGUAGGCGGCCAUUCAAGUCAGAGGUGAAAGCCCCGGGCUCAACCUGGGAAUUGCAUUCGAGACUGCGUGGCUAGGGUGCGGAAGAGGGAAGUGGAAUUUCCGGUGUAGCGGUGAAAUGCGUAGAUAUCGGAAGGAACAUCAGUGGCGAAAGCGACUUCCUGGUCCAGCACCGACGUUCAGGCGCGAAAGCGUGGGGAGCAAACAGG